UACGGGGGGGCAAGCGUUGUUCGGAAUCACUGGCGUAAAGCGCACGUAGGCGGAUUGCUAAGUCAGGGGUGAAAUCCUGGAGCUCAACUCCAGAACUGCCUUUGAUACUGGCGACCUUGAGUCCGGGAGAGGUGAGUGGAACUGCGAGUGUAGAGGUGAAAUUCGUAGAUAUUCGCAAGAACACCAGUGGCGAAGGCGGACUCACUGGCCCGGUACUGACGCUGAGGUGCGAAAGCGUGGGGAGCAAACGGG
rnacentral:rRNA from 1 species